rnacentral:tRNA from 2 species
GCCUGAGUGAUGGAAUUGGUAGACGUAGGAGACUCAAAAUCUCCCGGUGCUUUGCACCUUGCGGGUUCAAGUCCCGCCUUAGGCACCA